CUGGGGUUCACCAGUUGGUAUCUGCUUGGGCCCCUGUCCCACUCAUAUGAGGUUCACUUGAGAGGUAGGCAAGUAUGUUUGUCAUUAUCUCCUCUCCUUAGUUUUACCUAGCUAAGCAGCCUUGACAGCAGUUUAGAGACGUUGCCUAAACGCUGGCAGAGAUAGCUAAUGGGGUUACCCAAGGGAUUAACUGGUUUUGUCUGGGCCAUGUGCUUCUUUUACCUUAUGCUGGCCUUGGCACAGGGAAAUGUGAGUCCUUCCGCUGCUGCAGCUUUCUUGGUCUAUUCUACAGUGAGGGAGAUAUCUUGCUGCCUGACCUCCUAUGGGAAGAUUUUGCAGAUAGGUCCAGCAUCAUGCCCACUAGCCAAAAGGAACUCUGAUCUUCAGUUUUUGAUUUGA
rnacentral:lncRNA from 14 species